rnacentral:rRNA from 1 species
AUUGAACGCUGGCGGCAGGCCUAACACAUGCAAGUCGAGCGGAUGAAGGGAGCUUUCUCCUGGAUUCAGCGGCGGACGGGUGAGUAAUGCCUAGGAAUCUGCCUGGUAGUGGGGGAUAACGUCCGUAAACGGGCGCUAAUACCGCAUACGUCCUGAGGGAGAAAGUGGGGGAUCUUCGGACCUCACGCUAUCAGAUGAGCCUAGGUCGGAUUAGCUAGUUGGUGGGGUAAAGGCCUACCAAGGCGACGAUCCGUAACUGGUCUGAGAGGAUGAUCAGUCACACUGGAACUGAGACACGGUCCAGACUCCUACGGGAGGCAGCAGUGGGGAAUAUUGGACAAUGGGCGAAAGCCUGAUCCAGCCAUGCCGCGUGUGUGAAGAAGGUCUUCGGAUUGUAAAGCACUUUAAGUUGGGAGGAAGGGCAGUAAGUUAAUACCUUGCUGUUUUGACGUUACCAACAGAAUAAGCACCGGCUAACUUCGUG